rnacentral:rRNA from 1 species
UACGUAGGGUGCAGGCGUUACUCGGAAUUACUGGGCGUAAAGCGUGCGCAGGCGGCUUUGCAAGUCAGAUGUGAAAUCCCCGGGCUUAACCUGGGAACUGCAUUUGUGACUGCAUGGCUAGAGUGCGGCAGAGGGGGAUGGAAUUCCGCGUGUAGCAGUGAAAUGCGUAGAUAUGCGGAGGAACACCGAUGGCGAAGGCAACCCCCUGGGCCUGUACUGACGCUCAUGCACGAAAGCGUGGGGAGCAAACAGG